UCUUAUGGAUGAACAAAGAAGUGGUUUCUUGAGCUGGAAUUUCCUUCUGGUGAAGAUGCUGUGAA
rnacentral:pre_miRNA from 4 species